rnacentral:rRNA from 1 species
CAUGUCCUUUUGAUAAUAAUUUAAGGUCUGAUCUGCUCAAUGAAGUUUAAAUUGCCGCAGUAUUUUGACUGUGCAAAGGUAGCAUAAUAAUUAGUUUCUUGAUUAGGAACUGGAAUGAAUGAUUGGACAAGAAAAUAUCUGUCUCUUUUUUAAAUUUUUUGAAUUUUAUUUUUAAGUGAAAAAGCUUAAAUUUUUAUAAAAGACGAGAAGACCCUAUAGAGUUUAAUAUUUCAGUUUAAUUAAAUUUUAGAAUUAAAUUUUGAAUUGAUUUAUUUGGUUGGGGUGAUCUAAAGAUAAAAAUAAUUCUUUAAAAGUUUAAUUGAUGAUUUUUAAAUUUUAAAUCUAUAGUUUUUAAAACUAAAACAAAUUACCUUAGGGAUAACAGCGUAAUUUUUCUUUAAAGUUCUUAUUAAAAGGAAAGUUUGCGACCUCGAUGUUGGAUUAAAAUUAAUUUUUGGUGCAGUAACUUAAAAAUUAGGUCUGUUCGACCUUUAAAAUUUUACAUGAUCUGAGUUUAAACCGGUGUAAACCAGGUUGGAUUCUAUCUUUAGAAAGUUAAUAUAUUUUAGUACGAAAGGACCAAAUAUAUAUUUUAAAAAUU